rnacentral:rRNA from 1 species
GAGUUUGAUCGUGGCUCAGAACGAACGCUGGCGGCAUGACUAACGCAUGCAAGUCGAACGAACUCUUCGGAGUUAGUGGCGCACGGGUGCGUAACGCGUGGGAAUCUGCCCUUGGGUACGGAAUAACUCAGAGAAAUUUGUGCUAAUACCGUAUAAUGACUUCGGUCCAAAGAUUUAUCGCCCAAGGAUGAGCCCGCGUAAGAUUAGCUAGUUGGUGGGUAAAGGCCUACCAAGGCUACGAUCUUUAGCUGGUCUGAGAGGAUGAUCAGCCACACUGGGACUGAGACACGGCCCAGACUCCUACGGGAGGCAGCAGUGGGGAAUAUUGGACAAUGGGCGAAAGCCUGAUCCAGCAAUGCCGCGUGAGUGAUGAAGGCCUUAGGGUUGUAAAGCUCUUUUACCCGGGAUGAUAAUGACAGUACCGGGAGAAUAAGCUCCGGCUAACUCCGUGCCAGCAGCCGCAGUAAC